AGUGAACGCUGGCGGCGUGCUUAACACAUGCAAGUCGAACGGAUGAAAUAAGCUUGCUUAUUUCGUUAGUGGCGCACGGGUGAGUAAUGUAUAGCUAACCUGCCCUUUAGUGGGGGACAACAGUUGGAAACGACUGCCAAUACCCCAUACUCCUUCUUAUCAUAAGGUAAGUCGGGAAAGAUUUAUUGCUAAAGGAUGGGGCUUUAUUGUAUCAGCUUGUUGGUGGGGUAAUGGCCUACCAAGGCGAUGACGCAUACCUGGUCUGAGAGGAUGAUCAGGCACACUAGAACUGAGACACGGUCCAGACUCCUACGGGAGGCAGCAGUGGGGAAUAUUGCACAAUGGGGGAAACCCUGAUGCAGCAACGCCGCGUGGAGGAUGACGCAUUUCGGUGUGUAAACUCCUUUUAUAAGGGAAGAUAAUGACGGUACCUUAUGAAUAAGCACCGGCUAACUCCGUGCCAGCCGCCGCCGUAA
rnacentral:rRNA from 1 species